CAGAAGUCUUCUGGUGCAGGGCAGAGAAAGACCUACUUCAUUUCAGAUUCUUCCAAAGAAGGUUCUCUUUUCAGCAAUGAGUCCAACAAACCUCAGCCCUGUCCCUCUGAAAGGAAGAGAAGAGACUGAAGAACUAUAAGAACACAGACAAGGACAACAGUCUGAUUACAUACAGAGAAAAGUUCUUUCUGACUCAAGCAGGAAGCUGGCAUUUGGCAAACGACUUUGGAGGGAGGAAGACAUAUUUUAUCUGCCUGCAUCUGAAAUGAUGAUAUAACUGCUCUAAGAAACUAUCCUUUGGAAAGAGGUAUCUUACAUGUGAUAAACCACAAAACCCCACCUCACCCCGCCUCCUAGUUCAAAGCCAGACAAACAAGUAAGUCAUUUUUACAUGAGAGUUUAGUUCCUAAAGGAGCAUGUAGGCUCAC
rnacentral:lncRNA from 1 species